UACGUAGGGUGCGAGCGUUAAUCGGAAUUACUGGGCGUAAAGUGUGCGCAGGCGGCCGAGCAAGUCGAGUGUGAAAGCCCCGAGCUUAACUUGGGAACUGCGCUCGAAACUACUUGGCUGGAGUGCGGCAGAGGGGGAUGGAAUUCCGCGUGUAGCAGUGAAAUGCGUAGAUAUGCGGAGGAACACCGAUGGCGAAGGCAAUCCCCUGGGCCUGCACUGACGCUCAUGCACGAAAGCGUGGGGAGCAAACAGG
rnacentral:rRNA from 1 species